AAAAAGACCUUAGCCUUGAUAGAUCAGUCAGUCUCUCCAGACCCCAAGGUGACUUCACUUGAAUCAGCUUAGAUACUUGAUGUGGCAGAACAUAUUAGAAUCGUCAGACACAAUGGCAACCAUAAAACCGACCUCUUUCAUGAUUGCCGAUAUUCUCAACCUUCAAGAAGCGAACUCAUCCAUUAAAACAUGCGCAGAGGAGGCAUCAAACAGUGUACAGGAAUCAACACAAAACGACAAGGCGAUAGGUGAGUAUUUGAAAUGUUCCACAGGUAUACCAUACGCUAAGACCCGGGACUCCCAGCCAAAGACAUGCUUAGAGACGAUUUAUCAGAGCGACGUUACCAUACGGUCAGAGAGGUCUUCGGAUUUUCCAACACGCACAUGCGUAGAGGAGUCAUCAAGUAUUGUACAGGAAUCAACACAAAACGACGAAGAAAAAGGUGAGUAUUUGACAGGUUCCACAGGUAUCCCAUAUGCUAAGACCCGGAACUCCCAACCAAGAAAGCGCCCGGUAUUCCAUCCAGACGUGGUCGCUCGGCUUGAGCAGUUCUUCGCAAAACGACGAUACAUCAAUGCAGAGCAGCGGUACGCACUCGCCAAGGAAAUCAACAUGACAGAGGAGCAAAUCAAGAGCUGGUUCCACAACAAACGUACAGCCAUGAAGAGAAAACUCGUCGACGCUGGACGACGCACUGCUAAGCUCGCCUACCUACAAACCCUCGCCCGCAAGCUGUUACCAGCGAAUUCCCCGCAAGAUGCCAUGCCUAAAGAUCGUCUCCGUAGCAACGACAUCACGGCAGCUCGCCCAAGAAAGGUUUCAAAGCUCCGUUCAUUUCCAGACAGCGUCACUUCGGCACAUUUGAGAAAAGCAUCCCAGUCUCAUCGUACCUAUGGCAACUACGUGCAAAUUCCUACGCAGAUCUACGAAAGGCCCGUCCUUUCUAGAGUUCCAUGUUCUUACCUGCCGCCCUCAUAUUGCUUCACAAGAUAAAGGUGGUCUAAGGAUGCGUAAGUAAAGUGUUGUGUUGUGUAUUGACAGGGGCGAAGGAGCUGACUUAAAACUUGGUGGGGUCUCGAGACAAAAUUCAGAGUCCAGGGUUAGGGGUGGAGAGAGGGUUUAUCUGUAACCGAGUUUUUUCCGAGUGAGGACGAAUCGUGAAAAAAAAAUAUUGCUUAUUUGAAAGAUCAGAAAAUAUAUAUAACUUUUAGUCAUUGAAUGGAUACAUUCAAAAACUUGCAUUAUGUAUGGCUGGCACCGGCCUGAGUCGUUUUAUUCUUUUAACGACAAAAACGAAAACUUAAGAGUAAAUUGUUCAAAUCGCUUAUGAUUCACAUAGAGAGUAAACAAUAACUGUAACCGCCUCACUUCAAUCAAGCACCGCACAUUGUUGCGCGCAACAAAAUCGCCGCAAUCAGCUCGCUUGUGCUUUUAUGUCGCUUAGCCUUUGUGGAACCUUGCGCAAGUGUCGGCCCUCUGUUUGAGCCUGCGCAUCAGGUAUAAAAAGACCUUAGCCUUGAUAGAUCAGUCAAGUCUCUCCAGACCCAAAGGUGACUUCACUUGAAUCAGUUUAGAUACUCGACGUGGCAGAACAUAUUAGAAUCGUCAGACACAAUGGCAACCAGAAAACCGACCUCUUUCAUGAUUGCCGAUAUUCUCAACCUUCAAGAAGCGAACUCAUCCAUUAAUACAUGCGCAGUAGAGGCAUGAAGCAGUGCGCAGGAAUCACCAUAAAACGACGAGGCGAUAGGUGAGUAUUUGACAUGUUCCACAGGUAUCCCAUACGCUAAGACCCGGGACUCCCAGCCAAAGACAUUCGCCGAGACGAUAUAUUAGAGCGCGUUACCAUACGGUCAGAGAGGUCUUCGAAUUUUCCAACACGCAGAGGAGUCAUCAAGCAGUGUACAGGAAUCAACACAAAACGACGAAGAAAAAGGUGAGUAUUUGACAGGUUCCACAGGUAUCCCAUACGCUAAAAUCCGGAACUCCCAACCAAGAAAGCGCCCGGUAUUCCAUCCAGACGUGGUCGCUCGGCUUGAGCAGUUCUUCGCAAAACGACGAUACAUCAAUGCAGAGCAGCGGUACGAACUCGCCAAGGAAAUCAACAUGACAGAGGAGCAAAUCAAGAGCUGGUUACACAACAAACGCACAGCCAUGAAGAGAAAACUCGUCGACGCUGGACAACGCACUGCUAUGCUCGCCUACAUACAAACCCUCGCCCGCAAGCUGUUGCCAGCGGAUUCCCCGCAAGAUGCCAUGCCUGAAGAUCGUCUGCGUAGCAGCGACAUCAUGGCAGCUCGCCCAAGAAAGGUUUCGAAGCUCCGUUCAUUUCCAGACAGCGUCACUUCGGCACAUUUGAGUGCACAUUUGAGUGCAAAUUCCUCCGCAGAUCUACGAGUGGCCCGUCUUUCCUAGAGUUCCAUUUUCUUACCUGCCGCCCUCAUAUUGCUUCACAAGAUAAAGGUGGUCUAUAGAUGCGUGAGUAAAGUGUUGUGUUUGUGUAUCGACAGGGGCGAAGGACAUAAAACUGGGUGGGGUCUCGAGACAAAAUUCAAAGUCCAGGGUUAGGGGUGGGAGAGGGUUUAUCUGUAACCAAGAUUUUUGGGAGUGAGGAGGAAUCGUGAAAAUAUUGCUUAUUUGAAAGUUCAGAAAACAUGCAAAACUUUGAUUCAUUGUAUGCUUGGAGUCUAAAACUUGCGCUACGUAUGGGUGGCACCGGCGUUGUGUCUUCUCCUCCGUCAGCAGCAUGGUAUCGUAUCAAAAUAAAGAUUAGUGUGAUGCUGUUAUGCAAUUCUGCAAUUAUGGAUUCCAGAGGUUUCUCAAAUCGCCGAACAUAACCGUAAGGGCUACGGACGGCCGAACACCCGGAGGGGCUACGAGCUGCCGAACUACCGAAGGGGAUAAGAACGACCGAACACCCGAAGGCGCUACGAACGGCCGAACUACCGAAGGGGAUACGAACGACCGAACACUCGAAGGCGCUACGAACGGCCGAACUACCGAAGGCGCUACGAACUAACGAACACCCGAAGGCGCUACGAACUAACGAACACCCGAGGGCGCUACGAACGGCCGAACUACCGAAGGCGCUACGAACGCCGACUGGCAACAUAUCAAACAUAUUCCCCACGGAUAGUGUCCUUCGUUCGCUGUGCCUUAUAUGGUCAUAUAUGCCCAUAUUUAGAAGUACUGGAGUUUCCCCUUUCGCGCUUCUCCAACAAACAUGGCGGCAAACACUGAUUCCCUAAAGACUCGUAGUGGAAGAAUUAUAAAGAAACCGGAUCGCUUGGUCAAAUAUUUAGACCAUUCCUCAGUUGAUACGUACGU